rnacentral:lncRNA from 1 species
UAUUUUGGCAGGUCAACACAUGAGGACCACAUCGGUGGUAUACCUUGUCCUCCAGAUUCCAAUUGGGUUUUGCAAAUGGCGGAAAGGAGAAGAAUGAGGUAAAGAAGAAAAAAGAGAAGCCAGGUGCAGAGUGUGUCUUACUUAGAAGAAUCCUUGCAGGAGAAAUUACCUUUGACUUUGAGAAAGCAAAGAAGCCAUAUAAAGCCAUGUAAAGGUCGUUACAUGAUCUUAAAUA